rnacentral:rRNA from 1 species
CCUACGGGAGGCAGCAGUGGGGGAUAUUGCACAAUGGGGGGAACCCUGAUGCAGCGACGCCGCGUGAGCGAAGAAGUACCUCGGUAUGUAAAGCUCUAUCAGCAGGGGAGAAAAUGACGGUACCUGACUAAGAAGCCCCGGCUAAAUACGUGCCAGCAGCCGCGGUCAUAGGGAUGCGGCAAGGGUUAUACGGAUUUACUGGGUGUAAAGGGAGCGCAGGCGGCAUGCCAAGUCCGGCGUAAAAAGCCGGGGCCCAACCCCGGGCCUGCAUUGGAAACUGGCGGGCGGGAGUGUCGGAGGGGCAGGCGGAAUUCCUAGUGUAGCGGUGAAAUGCGUAGAUAUUAGGAGGAACACCGGUGGCGAAGGCGGCCUGCUGGACGAUGACUGACGCUGAGGCUCGAAAGCGUGGGGAGCAAACAGGAUUAGAUACCCCUGUAGUC